ensembl:rRNA 5S_rRNA 5S ribosomal RNA
AUCUAUGGCCAUACCACCCUGAUCCCAGACUCUAAGAAGGGUUGAGCCUGGCAAGAACAUGGAUAAGAGUCCUCCUGGGAAAACCGGGUGCUGUAGGGU